UUACGGUCAAAUCACGUUGAAAACACCGGUUCUCGUUCGAUCACCGAAGUUAAGCAUCGUAGAGCCAGGUCAGUACUUAGAUGGGGACCGCUUGGGAACACCUGGUAC